rnacentral:rRNA from 1 species
GAUGAACGCUAGCGGCGUGCCUAAUACAUGCAAGUCGAGCGAACGGACGAGAAGCUUGCUUCUCUGAUGUUAGCGGCGGACGGGUGAGUAACACGUGGAUAACCCACCUAUAAGACUGGGAUAACUUCGGGAAACCGGAGCUAAUACCGGAUAAUAUUUUGAACCGCAUGGUUCAAAAGUGAAAGACGGUCUUGCUGUCACUUAUAGAUGGAUCCGCGCUGCAUUAGCUAGUUGGUAAGGUAACGGCUUACCAAGGCAACGAUGCAUAGCCGACCUGAGAGGGUGAUCGGCCACACUGGAACUGAGACACGGUCCAGACUCCUACGGGAGGCAGCAGUAGGGAAUCUUCCGCAAUGGGCGAAAGCCUGACGGAGCAACGCCGCGUGAGUGAUGAAGGUCUUCGGAUCGUAAAACUCUGUUAUUAGGGAAGAACAUAUGUGUAAGUAACUGUGCACAUCUUGACGGUACCUAAUCAGAAAGCCACGGCUAACUACGUG